rnacentral:snRNA from 1 species
AGCUUUACACAGUGGCAGUAUCAUAGCCAGUGAGGUUUAUCCGAGGUACAGUUAUUGCUAAUUGAAAACUUUUCCUAAUACCCC